rnacentral:rRNA from 1 species
UGAGUUGUUUCGAGAAAAGCGGAGACUGCCGCUCUGAGCGCUUUCGGGCGUGAAUUGAGGCGAGAACCGCGUUAAUCGAAACGGCUUGAACCGGGCAAAAGUCGUAACAAGGUUUCCGUAGGUGAACCUGCGGAAGGAUCAUUAU